UCCCUGACGGUCCAGUAAUUAAGACUCUGCACUCUCAAUGCAGGGGGCACAGGUUCAAUCCCUGGUUGGGGAU
rnacentral:tRNA from 1 species